UGGGGGGGCUAGGAUGAAAAAUUUUGUCCUGCAUUUUUUUUAGCUGUAAUCUCUGUCCUGCCUUUUUAUUUUUCACUCUAAUCGGUCCUGCCUUUUUUUUUUUUAGUUCAUCCUGACUUUUUUUUACCUAAAUUGUCGUCCUGACUUUUUUUUUUGCAAGUGUGACAUCCUGCCUUUUUUUUUUUACUCAAAACUCCUGUCCUGCCUAUUUUUUUCAAAUUUCAUCCUAGCCCCCCCAUAAAAAUCAAAUGGUAGCUCCCUAACGAUAGUUGAAAAUUACCAUUUGGCGCAUGACGGUAAAAGGCAUUUCAACCAUCUUGAAAGAUUUCUAGGAUCAUUUAUUACAACACGGGCCCGUAAAUGUAAAGACGAAUAUAUAUAUAUGCUUUAUAUUUUCAUUGCAUUGGAAGAUAUUUGUUGUUUUAUAUUUCUAAUUGAUCUCACUAGGCCGUCAUAAAACAAUGUAUAGUAACAGAAC
rnacentral:lncRNA from 1 species